rnacentral:rRNA from 1 species
CCCCAGACUCCUACGGGAGGCAGCAGUGGGGGAUAUUGCACAAUGGGGGGAACCCUGAUGCAGCGACGCCGCGUGGGUGAAGAAGUAUUUCGGUAUGUAAAGCCCUAUCGGCAGGGAAGAAUUUAGACGGUACCUGACUAAGAAGCCCCGGCUAACUACGUGCCAGCAGCCGCGGUAAUACGUAGGGGGCAAGCGUUAUCCGGAUUCACUGGGUGUAAAGGGAGCGUAGACGGCCAUGCAAGCCUGGAGUGAAAGCCCGGGGCCCAACCCCGGGACUGCUCUGGGAACUGUGCGGCUGGAGUGCGGGAGGGGCAGGCGGAAUUCCUGGUGUAGCGGUGAAAUGCGUAGAUAUCGCGCAGAACUCCGAUUGCGAAGGCAGCGUACCGGCGCCGGACUGACGCUGAGGCACGAAAGCGUGGGUAUCGAACAGGAUUAGAUACCCUGGUACC